rnacentral:rRNA from 1 species
GACGAACGCUGGCGGCGUGCUUAACACAUGCAAGUCGAGCGGUAAGGCCCUUUCGGGGUACGACGAGCGGCGAACGGGUGAGUAACACGUGGGUGACCUGCCUCAGCUCUGGGAUAAGCCUGGGAAACCGGGUACGUAAUAACUGGAUAUGACUCCAUGACGCAUGUUGUGGGGUGGAAAGACCUUGUGCGGCUGAGGAUGGGCCCGCGGCCUAUCAGCUUGUUGGU